rnacentral:rRNA from 1 species
UACGAGGGGAGCAAGCGUUGUUCGGAAUCAUUGGGCGUAAAGGGCGCGUAGGCGGCCUGCACAAGUCCAGGGUGAAAGCCCUCGGCUCAACCGAGGAAUGGCCUUGGAUACUGUGCGGCUUGAGUAUUGGAGAGGAAAGCGGAAUUCCCAGUGUAGCGGUGAAAUGCGUAGAUAUUGGGAGGAACACCUGUGGCGAAGGCGGCUUUCUGGACAAUCACUGACGCUGAGGCGCGAAAGCUAGGGGAGCAAACGGG